AAAUGCGAUAAGUAGUGUGAAUUGCAGAAUUCAGUGAAUCAUCGAAUCUUUGAACGCACAUUGCGCCCCUUGGUAUUCCAUGGGGCAUGCCUGUUCGAGCGUCAUUUGUACCCUCAAGCUCUGCUUGGUGUUGGGUGUUUGUCCCCGUCUCCGCGCGUGGACUCGCCCCAAAGUGAUUGGCAGCCGGCGUACUGGUCCCGGAGCGCAGCACACGUCGCGCAAACGAGUGCCUUGGUACGGCGGCGUCCAUAAGCCCCUCUCUCACGCUCUUGACCUCGGAUCAGGUAGGGAUACCCGCUGAACUUAAGC
rnacentral:misc_RNA from 1 species